rnacentral:rRNA from 1 species
UACAGAGGGUGCAAGCGUUAAUCGGAUUUACUGGGCGUAAAGCGUGCGUAGGCGGUUCAGUGUGUCGGUUGUGAAAUCCCCGGGCUUAACCUGGGAACUGCAUCCGAAACUGCUGGGCUAGAGUGUGGUAGAGGGCGGUGGAAUUCCAGGUGUAGCGGUGAAAUGCGUAGAUAUCUGGAGGAACACCGAUGGCGAAGGCAGCCGCCUGGGCCACAACUGACGCUGAGGCGCGAAAGCGUGGGGAGCAAACGGG